rnacentral:rRNA from 1 species
CCUACGGGGGGCAGCAGUGAGGAAUAUUGGUCAAUGGGCGCGAGCCUGAACCAGCCAAGUCGCGUGAGGGAAGACGGUCCUAUGGAUUGUAAACCUCUUUUGUCGGGGAGCAAAAGACGCUACGCGUGGCGUUCCGCGAGUACCCGAAGAAAAAGCAUCGGCUAACUCCGUGCCAGCAGCCGCGGUAAUCCGGAGGAUGCGAGCGUUAUCCGGAUUUAUUGGGUUUAAAGGGUGCGCAGGCGGAAGAUCAAGUCAGCGGUAAAAUUGAGAGGCUCAACCUCUUCGAGCCGUUGAAACUGGUUGUCUUGAGUGAGUGAGAAGUAGGCGGAAUGCGUGGUGUAGCGGUGAAAUGCAUAGAUAUCACGCAGAACUCCGAUUGCGAAGGCAGCAUACCGGCGCUCAACUGACGCUCAUGCACGAAAGUGUGGGUAUCGAACAGGAUUAGAUACCCUAGUAGUC